UGAUGCUCGUUGCACGCGUUUUAGUAGAAAAUCUGCAUCCUGCGCGUACGGACGUGACUCGGAUGGAAAAGGAAGCCGUGGCAGCCACAAGACAAUUUGCCGCGUUUUGAAAUUGAACGUGCCCCGAAAGCGUACUCUUUGUUUAUGCCAAAGACAAAAGGCGGAAAAGAGUGAAUAUACAAAUAAAGAAAAAGUGCAGAGCAAAGGGCAAACAGUGAAGAUAGCCAUAACAGAGAAAGAGAGAAAGAAUUAAGACAAAAGUUAAACCACUUGGUGUCCUCUUGGGUGUCCUGCGAGUGGAGUGUCCUGGCGUCGGUUGUUCAACGUGGAGUGUGUCGACUGUCAACUGCCGAGUGUCUUUUGGUGGAAUCACUUUUAAAAUUUGUUUGCUCCCGUUGUACUCAAAUGGAUAUUAGAACUGAGCCGAAACGUACCGAAACAAGGAGCUCCGGAGCCAGACCCACAGCUACAGCCAGGGGAUUUCUCCAAGGAGGAGUAAUGUAAAAAAAGGGGAUUAUUGUGCCUCAUUUUCGUGGUGCCGAGCAAAAGAAAGUGAAAUAAAAAGUAUCCUCGAACCGGAUUAUGCGAUAAAUUGUUACUGAAGUGUAAAUGUUUUCUCACGUGUUAAAUCGUUAAAUAUAAGCCUUAUAAGAAAUAUAUGUACUCGUAUAAAGGAGCCACCGUUCGUGAGUCCGGCCACAUGGCCAUUGUAACUUAUUACGAAGAAGCCUUAAACUGAAAACUUGGGUGCAAGAAAACCCAUUGAAAAGCAAUGCGAAACUUGUUAAACACUAUAAAUGGUUCAAGUUCUUCAAGAGUUUUUUUGUGCGCCAGAAAACUUUCACCCAUUAGUCAUUGAGAACCCUCUCGUUGUGUGAUAGUUUUGCAUAGAAACCGUGCAAUAUUUUAACUUUUGUGCGAAAAGGAGCGUGGGAGAGACUUGAAGCUAUACGGCGAAUUUUACAUUAUUAAUUGCAAAACGAUUAUGAGAGUUGCCAACAAAAGUUCACCACUCUGCAGAACCGAAAACACUUAAAUAAAUAUAUAAAUCAAGCAAGAGAGAGAAAUACGAGUACGAGUAGAACGAAACAAUGAAAAUGCAAGAACAUUUUUGCUGGAAACGCAGCGAAAAACUUGCGAAAAACCCAUAAAAGAAAGUUGCAAUUUCUGGCUAAAAUACAAAAUAAAAAUAAUAAAAAUAAAAUCAAAUAAAAUAAGAGUCAAGUGGAGCAGAAACCAAAUGGAGAAAGGGAGCGCUGCAGCCCAACCCCCAAGUGUAUUAAUUCAAUAAACCUAUUUAUCUGAGACUUCGACUGGGAUUUUGGGGAAAUACGGAGAGAUAGAGAUUUCGCAGAGAAUGCGACAAAGUUUGCCAGCCAAGACGGCGCAGUGCAAUCAGCCCAGUCUGCUAAGGAGUCGACAGAGGAGUCAGAGGAGUCAGAAAAGCCAGAGGAGCAGCCAGAGCAGUCGGAGCAGCCAGAUUCGAUGCCGCAAACGAGUCCCAAUUGGAGGCAGGCGUACAAUGAGCGCACAAAAGGCGCUGUAAGUGUCAUUGCAGCCAGGAACUGUGCCACUGGGACUGCCACAGCCACAGCCAGAGCCAGAGCAAGCGCCACUGCCACAGCCACAGCCACAGUUCGGCGAAGGACAGCCACGUUGACAACUGCAGAGAUGACAGUCAGGGCAGGCGAUGUGGGCGGACCAUCUUCAGUCCAACGUCGCCAAUUUUUACGUAGCACCAGGACACGGACAUCGUCUUGGCUGGAUCUCCUUCCAGCCCUUCUGGUCCUCGGCUUUGGGAUGCAACUUGUCACCUGCAGCGAGGCAAAGCCGCAGCCGCAGCCGCAGCCACAGCCACACGCAGGGGCAGAGCCAGAGCCAGGACCAGCAAUGGGGCAGGUACAGGCAGAGGCACAACCACCGACACCGACACAGACACGGACACAGCUUAUGCCAGCCCCGAGAUCCACACUGUCAGAUAGGCCAAUGACAACACACAACGAUCUAAUUACGACAGCCAGGAACUUGACGACAGCAAAAAAACAAACAACAGAAUACGAGGCGGCUUCAACGAGCCUGAGCGAAAGGGAAACAAGCACGGCCGUAGCCCGGGGCAUGUCAUCAGCAGCAGCAGCAGCAGCAGCGGGAACAGCUGUAGCAGAAGGUGCAGCGCCUGGUGUGGAGACGAUGGAAGCGACCAAGUCAGCACAAAUUGGGCUAACAACUCGGCCCGCAGAAGAGCAAGUACUAGAGCAAAUAGCGACUGCAGCCACAGAAGCAGCAGCAACAACAACAACAGCAGCAGCAGCAGUGGCAGCAGAAGAGCGUACGACAGAAACCACAACAGCAGCGGCAACAGCGACGGCGACAGCGACAGCGGCAAUGCUCAUAUCAACAAUUUAUCCAGCAUCAACGGAAACGGAUGGCCACAACUCCAUUGAAACGGUGCCAGCAGAGAACCAGAAAAAGGAAUCAGAAAACCAAGCAUUGGGCAGAGCAGAGCUCCCUGCAGAGGAUGAUGAAAGGAACUCGUUGCUGCCACUGCCGCUACCGCAUCCGGGUGGGGCUGAUUUGACCAAGGGCUUCUCCAUACCCACCUUCCUGCCACCAUUUCCCGUUUUUGCGGCAGCGGAUUUGCCAGCUUACCGAGCUGCAGCCGAUGCAGCGGCCGCCGCCGCGGCGGCAAUAGAAGAGGCAACCAAAGCAGCAGCAGCCGCAGCAGCUGCAGCAGCAUCCUCGGAGGCAGCGACAUUGUCGCCAGAGGAGCAACGGCGACGAAUGUUUGAUGAGCAGCAUUCGUUCUUGGCCGCCCACCGGGCGGCCCUGGACGGGGACGGGGACGGGCAGGUGGUGCGACGGAAUCUGACAAUGCCGGUGCUAAACAUCACCGCCCAAAUGGGGAAUCACGCCUAUAUGCCAUGCCAGAUACAUCGCCUCUCCGACAAGCCCGUCUCGUGGGUGCGCAUGCGCGACAACCACAUUAUCAGUGUGGACGAGACCACCUUUAUAGCGGAUGAGCGUUUCCAGUCGAUCUUCCAGGAAGAUCACGACUACACCUGGUCGCUGCAGAUCAAAUACGUAGUGCCCGACGAUGCGGGCGGGUACGAGUGUCAAAUGGCCACGGAACCGAAGCUGAGUGCCAAAGUGCACUUGGAGAUAGUCACACCCAAGACUGAGCUAAUUGGGGAUCAGAGUCGCUUCGUUAAGGCCGGCAGCAAGGUGGCCCUCCACUGCAUCGUUCGGGGGACUCUGGAUCCCCCAAAAUACAUCAUCUGGUUCCGGGGCCAGAAGAAGGUGAGCGAGAGCGAUGAGCGGACUGGGUGGUACACGCAGCUCGAUCGCAAUAUCUUCGGGACAGUGGGUGAUAAUCAAAAUACGAUCGGUUCAUUAAUUAUACCGGUCGUGCGUAAAGAGGACUCCGGCAAUUAUACGUGCCAGCCAUCAAACAGUGUCUCCGUCUCCGUGGACCUGCACGUCCUGAGUGGUGAAUAUUCCGCAUCGGCCAUCAUGUCAACGGCAUCGGUAUCGUGGACGAAGACAAGGACGAGCACCAGCGGGAGAGGCACGUCCCAAUUGAUGCUGUGGAUGCUGGGACUCCUGGGACUCCUUGGGGCGCUGCAGGGACCGUUGCACACACCCCAGACGACGUGACUCGCCUAUUGAAUAAACGGGACCCAUGGACUCACGGACACACGGACACGCGGUCGAGGAUGCUGGCUUGGAUGCUGCGGACAUUGGUGUCCGGCUUCCAAUUAUUUGUAAGCUUUUGCGCCAUCUGCAGUUACGUAAUUUAGGUUAGAGAUUAAUUAAAGGCGGCCUUGUAAAUAGCAGAAAUGUAGAGAGAUGGCAGCAGGAUUCUAUAAUUAGGUUAAAUGUUACCAUAACUCUCAUGACUGCGUGUCAAAUACUCGCACUCGUACUCCCCAUACUCCCCAUACAAUUCAAUCUACUGUACAUUCAUUUUUUAGUCAUAGAUACACGAAGGAAUUUUUCCCAUUUCAAGUUGUGAAAACGAAUCAAUAAUUAGAUUAUUGUCAGCAAAUGAUUAAAACACUAAAAACUUAACACAGAAAUCAAGAAAAAAAUUCAUAAAUAAAAUGCAUUCAAUAAAUCAUGUGAAACUCAAUUGAAAUCUCUGUGUUCUCUCUCCGAUCAGAAUGGUCUCUCUAAAAUUAACUUUAAAUAUCGAAACCCCCAUCCAAAAGCUUAACAAAAUCCACUGACAAAAUAAACCCAAAGGGACCCAAGUCCCAGAUUUAAUAUAGCCCAAGAAAUACCGUCUUGACCCUCAGUUGACAGAGGGCUAAUAAAAGAGGGCGACCAGCAAAGUAUUUCCCCAAUUGCGAUAUGCAUAAAUAAUUUAAUAUUUUAUGGUAAUUUGGGCUCCACUUUAACUCCUACUGUGACCCAUCGUAGGACAUCAAAGUGACGAAAAGAAAACACAAAUGAGCCAAAAACUUAGAGCCUGGCCAAAACGAGAAUGGAGAAUGGUGGAGUGCAUAAAAACAACAGAAACAGAAACCAUAAACCGGCGAAUUCUAGGGCCCAUAAAGCCUUUAAGGUAGAGAGUCUAUUUUAUUGCAGCGGAAAUCACAUCUCCGUCCAGAGAUGGGCAUAAAAAACAACAAACCAAAAAGUAAAACCAACAAAAGUAUGAAGUAAAAAUAAGAAACAGCACGUAAAAUUUGUCGUUGUCCUUUCAAGGCGAAGGAGGUGGACGUGGAGGAGGAGGAGGAGGAGAUGGAAGGCAAAUCGUGUUGGUUGGACGUAAGCGAAGCAAUUUACAAGAAACAGUAAGAGAACCAGAGAGACGGUGAGAUGGUAGGAAGAAAGGCAGUAAAUAUUUUUCACUAUGUUGCUGCUGAUGUUGAUGCUGAUGACUGACUCGCCCGACGACAGCCAUUCGGAAGGAAUGGUGGCCCGAAAGGCGAGAGAGAGGAAGAGAGCUGCUGGCUUAAGUCCAACAACUCAGCAAGCUCCCCGUCAAGGCAGGAAAAGUCAAACAAGAUGAAGCCAGUUGGAAAUGUCCUUGCUCAGCGCUCAACGCUCUACGCUCAAGCAGAGCAAAAAUAAAAUCCAACAAAAAAAGCACACAAAAUAACA